UAAGUGGAAGAUUACUCUAAGAUGCACAUUCGACUACUUCUGGCACUCACGCAUGUUCAGUUCUUUUUAAUAGGCAUAUACGCCGAUCCCCGGGGAUACCAAUAUUACAGGACUAAAGUGCCGUCUUACAAAAUGCGCGGGCCAUAUCAGGAACCAGUGGCACCAGCGGACUAUUGCAGAAAGGGACUCUGCCCGAAAGGUGUUCGUCACAUUUCCUGUAACAAUACGUUUUAGGGCGAAAUCUGUCCCACAUCACCCAAUGGUAUUAACAUGGAAAAUUACAUUACUAACAUUUUGGAAUCUCAUAAUGGUGUACGGAAAAUAAUCGAACAGACCGUGGAUGAUUUGCCAAAAGCCAAAAAAUUGCCCCCACUCCGCUGGGAUGAAGAACUCUCCGUAGUGGCAAUGCGCGUCACAAAUUUUUGUAACUAUAUUGUGGCCCACAAUUGCGUUAACGUCCCACGUUUCUUAAAUGUCGCUCGCAACUCAGGUGACUUAACAAUUUAUUCAUACAGUACUGCAUACAUAAUUCGCUUUAUAUUUCAAAAUUGGCUAAUGGGUUAUCAAUAUUUUAAAGCUUCAUAUGUACAUGAAUUUCCAGUGAAUGCUACAGAAGAAACUGAGUCUUUAGCAAAUAUUAUAAAUCAGAGGGUUGACAAAGUGGGUUGCGGCUUGUUGAUAGAUGUACAAACGCCACCUGUAGCUUAUUUUACCUGUUUGUAUAAUGAAAAAAUCAGGCCUGGAAAGCAAUUGUAUGAAACAAAUCCAUAAAAUCCGACUUUAAAUCUAUGUCAAAUAUAUAUAAUAAACUUAUUAUAAAAUAAAUAUAUAUAAUAAA